CGCAAGCCUGACGGAGCAAGACCGCGUGGGGGAGGAAAGCCUUUGGGUUGUAAACCCCUUUUCUCAGGGAAGAAGAAAGUGACGGUACCUGAGGAAUCAGCCUCGGCUAACUCCGUGCCAGCAGCCGCGGUAAUACGGAGGAGGCAAGCGUUAUCCGGAAUUACUGGGCGUAAAGCGUUCGUAGGGGGCUCGUCAAGUCUGCUGUCAAAGCUCGGAGCUCAACUCCGACCCGGCAGUGGAAACUGGGGAGCUAGAGGGCGGCAGGGGCAGAAGGAAUUCCCGGUGUAGCGGUGAAAUGCGUAGAUAUCGGGAAGAACACCAGAGGCGAAAGCGUUCUGCUGGGCCGCGCCUGACCCUGAGGGACGAAAGCCAGGGGAGCG
rnacentral:rRNA from 1 species